rnacentral:rRNA from 1 species
AGGACGAACGCUGGCGGCGUGCCUAACACAUGCAAGUCGAGCGAGAUCCAUUCGGUGGCAACACCGUUGAAGAUCUAGCGGCGAACGGGUGAGUAACACGUGAGAAACCUGCCCCGGAGACCGGGAUAACCCGAGGAAACUCGGGCUAAUACCGGAUGUCCCCAUUUCAUCGCAUGUUGAAAUGAGGAAAUGCUCCGACGCUCCGGGAGGGUCUCGCGGCCUAUCAGGUAGUUGGUGAGGUAACGGCUCACCAAGCCGAAGACGGGUAGCUGGUCUGAGAGGACGAUCAGCCACACUGGGACUGAGACACGGCCCAGACUCCUACGGGAGGCAGCAGUGGGGAAUCUUGCGCAAUGGGCGAAAGCCUGACGCAGCAACGCCGCGUGCGGGAUGAAGCUCUCGGUCGUAAACCGCUUUCAGGAGGACGAAAAUGACGUACCUCCAGAAGAAGCCCGGCCAACUACGUGCCAGCAGCCGC